rnacentral:rRNA from 1 species
AAUGCCGGAUGCUCCAGUUGGAUGCAUGUCCUUCUGGGAAAGAUUCAUCGGUAUGGGAUGGGGUCGCGUCCUAUCAGCUUGAUGGCGGGGUAACGGCCCACCAUGGCUUCGACGGGUAGCCGGCCUGAGAGGGCGACCGGCCACAUUGGGACUGAGAUACGGCCCAGACUCCUACGGGAGGCAGCAGUGGGGAAUAUUGCACAAUGGGCGCAAGCCUGAUGCAGCGACGCCGCGUGCGGGAUGACGGCCUUCGGGUUGUAAACCGCUUUUGACUGGGAGCAAGCCCUUCGGGGUGAGUGUACCUUUCGAAUAAGCACCGGCUAACUACGUGCCAGCAGCCGCGGUAAUACGUAGGGUGCAAGCGUUAUCCGGAAUUAUUGGGCGUAAAGGGCUCGUAGGCGGUUCGUCGCGUCCGGUGUGAAAGUCCAUCGCUUAACGGUGGAUCCGCGCCGGGUACGGGCGGGCUUGAGUGCGGUAGGGGAGACUGGAAUUCCCGGUGUAACGGUGGAAUGUGUAGAUAUC